CAGCAGCCGCGGGAAUACAGAGGGUGCGAGCGUUAAUCGGAUUUACUGGGCGUAAAGCGUGCGUAGGCGGCUAUAUAAGACAGAUGUGAAAUCCCCGGGCUCAACCUGGGAACUGCAUUUGUGACUGUAUAGCUAGAGUACGGCAGAGGGGGAUGGAAUUCCGCGUGUAGCAGUGAAAUGCGUAGAUAUGCGGAGGAACACCGAUGGCGAAGGCAAUCCCCUGGGCCUGUACUGACGCUCAUGCACGAAAGCGUGGGGAGCAAACAGGAUUAGAGACCCCCGUAGUCCCUGUCUCUUAUAC
rnacentral:rRNA from 1 species